AGUUAAGGUCAUAACAAUCAAAGCAAACUUAAUCCCAUCUAAAACUGUAGAAGUUAAGUAGAGAAGGGCCUGGGAAGCACUUGGAUUGGAGACCUCCUCAGAAUACCAGGUGCAUUUAGGUU
ensembl:rRNA 5S_rRNA 5S ribosomal RNA